rnacentral:pre_miRNA from 1 species
AUAUUACUCCCUCCGUUCGGAAUUACUUGUCGCAGAAAUGGAUGUAUCUAGACGUAUUUUAGUUCUAGAUACAUCCAUUUCCGAGACAAGUAAUUCCGAAUGGAGGGAGUAUUAA